UAUCUGCAAAGCAUAAAACCCCUAACCAGAGAGUUUUAUGAAGAUAAAGUGUUUUAUGCUUUGCAAAUAUUUCACAUAAUUCAGUUGUACUGAGCUAAUAAUCAGAGAGAGUAAUAGAGUAGACGUGUCUGUCUUUCUUAAACUCUCUAAGCCUUUGGCUCAAAAGGAGGACAGUAAAACAAUUCAAGAAUCUCAUGAGUGCCUCAAGGUUUUUGCAGUAGUUUGAAUUGGCUUUGAAAGAGAUUUUAAUAUGCGUUGACUAUGUAGAGAUGUUGAACUGUUUGUCUGCAUAUGGAGAAACAGAGAACAAUUUUCAGAGACGUAUAUACAGGAUGAUAAAAAGAAUCAGGAAAACAGGAAAAUUUGGAGGUGCGGCAUAAAACCCAUCAAAGUACCCCCUCGGAUUUUCGAAGAAGCAGGAAAAGUUAUACCAACUUUGGUUUUCCUCUGAGAUUAUUGAUCGUAUUAGUAACCAAUUGUCUUUGCCUUCACAAACCACAAAUACAAGCAGGCUGAACAUUCAGGAAAAUAUUGAAUCUGCAGCAGAUACAGGCAACCAGAAUAGCAUCAAGGCUAAUGCUCAACCUUCAGGGGAAAAAGGAAGCAAAGGAAGAAAGCAAGUCCCGAUGACACUUGACAGCCAGGGAGAGGUGCAGUUGGCUAAUCCUCACAUUCCUGAACCACACAGCACAACACUCACACGUGGCAAUACAGAAAGAAAGGAGGCUGCUGUGGUACAAAAGGGUGUGCAGAGGAGAGGCAAGGGCAUCAGAGAAUUUGGGAACAGAAUGAAAAGGAUUGAAGGAGAGUGCAGGCUUCUCGAACGCCUUGCUUAAUUUACCAUUUCUAAUCUAAGUAAUAGAAGUAACAAUAGUCAUUUCCAUUUUUCCAGAACUGAACUGAAUUUGUGUUGCUGAAUACUUUGUCAUUUUACAUUCAGUACUCAAUAUAGUAUUACAAUUUCCAGAAUCA